rnacentral:rRNA from 1 species
CCCUUAGAUAUCCUGGGCCGCACGCGCGCUACACUGACAUGUUCAACAAGUUUCUCCUAGUUCGACAGGACUGGGAAAUCUUUGAACGCAUGUCGUGAUAGGGAUAGAUCAUUGCAAUUAUUGAUCUUGAACGAGGAAUUCCUAGUAAACGCGAGUCAUCAGCUCGCAUUGAUUACGUCCCUGCCCUUUGUACACACCGCCCGUCGCACCUACCGAUUGAAUGUUUCGGUGAAGAUUCCGGAUAGGACUGAUUUGAUUUAUUUCAUUUCUGACCUAAAAGCUAUCUAAACCUCAACAUUUAGAGGAAGGUGAAGUCGUAACA